ACAGAGGGGACAGAGGAGCAUCUGGCCUUGGCGUGGGAAGGAAAGGGGCUUCCUGCCUGCGUUGUGUUCUCAUCCAACUUCCCCACCUUAUUAAAGUCCACGCUCCCUGGCUUCCGUCAGAUCUCAAAGUCUUCAGUUUGUUCUUACUCUGGGGCUCUAGCUGGUUCCUGUGUUGAUGUCCAGGUCCCUGGGUCUUUUCCUGGGGUAACUGCUCACCAUACAACCUCCAGACAAUUGUCACCUAUCCUCAGGAAUGACCCGGGUCCAUCAUCUUGCUUGUCUGUUUCCUUCCCAGCACCCUCUGAGGUUACUGGCACACAAGUUAACUCUGUCUGUCUCCUGCCUUCUCCACAGGAGCUGGAACUCAGCUGUCCUCAUUCAGCUUUCCAUCUCCAGGGCCAGGCAAACGGAGACACUCCGUGAAUAAAGAUGAACCGACUUAUUUACUAAACAAGGAACAUUGAUGCCUCCUGGAAUCAAGAUCCACGCCCUGACCAGCCUUCCUCGGCCACUCCCCUUCCUGCCUCUGCGCAUGAUGGAGGGCCGAUCUGCCCACUCUCUGAUGCCCUCAUUGGCUAUAGGAACUAUUGGAAUCUAGACUGCAAGACUCCAAUCAGUUUAACAGUUGAGACGAUAGACAGGGAGCCAGCCAGAAACAUUUCUUAAAUCUCCGCCUUUGCCUCUUUCAAACUGUAUGCCCUAGGUGGUAUGGCAGAGUUCCAGGCCCAGCGGCUGCUCCCUGCACCUGCCCCCUCCACAUCCAAUUUCUUUGCAAUGGCCUAAAAAGCUAACCAAGCUGAAAUAGCUCAUUCCAAGGCUCUCAAACUCCGGCACCAUUAUUCAGUGUUUGCAGAGGCCUAGCCUCAUCCCUGCCACUCACCAUUUCCCAUCUGUUGGGAGCACUUGGCUGUGGUAUCUUCGAUGCUCACCGUCCCGUUGGGCUUGAGGAUAAGAGCCCCAGCCUAGGAUGAGGUGCCACCCAUAGUGGGCCGGUCUUCCCACUUCUUUCAGCACAAUCAGGAAAAUACCCACAGGUGUGCCCAGAGCUCCAGCUCCAAGUUGACAAUGACCACCAAGCAAGCACAAGACUCCAGCUAAUUUGUCAGCGCAUUAGGAUGCAAGAAGACACUUUACUCUCAGCAGAUGUCACACCAUGCUCUUGGACUACCCAGCUUUUCAAACCAUGAGCUUAAUAAAUCUCUACUCUCUA
rnacentral:lncRNA from 1 species